rnacentral:rRNA from 1 species
GUUAGUGGCGGACGGGUGAGUAACACGUGGGCAACCUGCCUGUAAGUUGGGGAUAACUCCGGGAAACCGGGGCUAAUACCGAAUGAUAAGAUGUGGCGCAUGCCACGCCUUUGAAAGAUGGUUUCGGCUAUCGCUUACAGAUGGGCCCGCGGUGCAUUAGCUAGUUGGUAGGGUAAUGGCCUACCAAGGCAACGAUGCAUAGCCGACCUGAGAGGGUGAUCGGCCACACUGGGACUGAGACACGGCCCAGACUCCUACGGGAGGCAGCAGUAGGGAAUCUUCCGCAAUGGACGAAAGUCUGACGGAGCAACGCCGCGUGUAUGAAGAAGGUUUUCGGAUCGUAAAGUACUGUUGUUAGAGAAGAACAAGGAUAAGAGUAACUGCUUG